rnacentral:rRNA from 1 species
UACGUAGGUGGCAAGCGUUGUCCGGAUUUAUUGGGUUUAAAGGGUGCGUAGGCGGCUUUGUAAGUCAGUGGUGAAAUAUGGCAGCUUAACUGUCAGGGUGCCAUUGAUACUGCGGAGCUUGAGUACAGAUGAGGUAGGCAGAAUUGACGGUGUAGCGGUGAAAUGCUUAGAUAUCGUCAAGAACACCUAUAGCGAAGGCAGCUUACUAGGCUGUAACUGACGCUGAGGCACGAAAGUGUGGGGAUCAAACAGG